CUGAUGCAACACAACCUCCUCAAGAAAAAGAAAGCAUUUGUCUCCAAGUGCAAUUUAAAACCUUUAAAGCCUUUUCUUAUUUCUCCCUUAAAAAAAAAAAAGAGAAAAAACCACCAAAAAAGAAAGAUACCAUCUGCUAAUGCAAUCGCUAAUUGGCAAGGGAGAGUUCUUACAUGUUCCUACCAACAGACCCAAGAGGAGGCUGGCUUUCAGGACCAUCACUCCUGUUCCUGGAAUAAGCAGCCGAGUCUGCCAGGCACCACGCUGCAGGCUGGAGCUGAGGGGAGCUGGGGUGGGCCAGGGAUCCACUUCCCUCACAUGCCUCUAAUCUCAUCAACCAGAAGUGCCCAGAUUCAAUAUAUUCUCUUCCCCUUUUGUUUUUUCAAAAUUAAAAAAAAAAAAAAAAGAAGAAGAAGAAGAAGAAGAAAGAGUGAUGUUAAAAUUUUGAAUUCAGAAACAGUUGCCAUGUGGGGAAUUGAUUUUGGCUUGAAACAGGCCACCCGCUUCUCAUCAGUGGCUCCUGGCAGGGUUCCCGGGCUCAGGACACGCCUCCUCCACUCAUUUCCUGGGAAGUCUGUUCCUCUGAGGGCCAUCUCCUCGCCCUUGCAUCACACCUGGAUGCGGUUUCCUUGAGCUGCUGGGUGGCGUUGCCCUGCUCCACUCACUCCACGGCUGUCUUGGCUCCAACAUCCCCUGCCUUUCCUCCUGCUCCUGCCAGCUGAUGGAGAAGGGGCAUUCUGAAGAGAGCAGAGGGCAGUAGCAUGGGGCCGGGGCCUGGGGGUGGAGCUGGGGUGAAGCUCAGGCAGAUAACAGGGGUCAAGGGGGGUCUGAGGCAGCCAGAACCGCCUCCACGAGCCUGUUCCAGCUCCCAGCAGGCUCACUUAGGCUCCCUCGGCCGCCUGGCUCAGAUCUCUUUUCUUAAUCCAAUAAAGGGGCACUUGCCUACA
rnacentral:lncRNA from 1 species